rnacentral:miRNA from 1 species
CAAGUUUGGUGUUUAUGACGUCGAUAUUCGACGUCAUAAACACCAUCAAGUUUGGUGUUUAUGACGUCGAAUAUCGACGUCAUAAACACCA